rnacentral:rRNA from 1 species
GUCUUUUUGAGUUAUUUUUAAAGUCUGACCUGCCCACUGAAUAUUUUUAAAUGGCCGCAGUAUUCUAACUGUGCAAAGGUAGCAUAAUCAUUAGUCUUUUAAUUGAAGGCUGGUAUGAACGGUUGGACGAAGUAUAAGCUGUUUCAUAUAAAAUUAUAUUAGAAUUUUAUAUUUUAGUUAAAAAGCUAAAAUAUUAUUAAAAGACGAGAAGACCCUAUAAAUCUUUAUAUUUAAUAUUAUUCAAAUUUUUUUGAUUAAUUUUAUUUUUAUAAUAUUAAAUAUUUUGUUGGGGUGAUAUUAAAAUUUAAUAAACUUUUAAUUUUGAAUUAGAACAUUAAUUUAUGAAUAGUUGAUCCAUUAUUAAUGAUUAUAAGAUUAAGUUACUUUAGGGAUAACAGCGUAAUUUUUUUUGAGAGUUCAUAUCGACAAAAAAGUUUGCGACCUCGAUGUUGGAUUAAGAUAUAUAUUUAGGUGUAGCCGUUUAAAUAUUAAGUCUGUUCGACUUUUAAAUUCUUACAUGAUCUGAGUUCAAACCCGGAG